rnacentral:piRNA from 1 species
UACUUAAUGAUUAAGAUAGUGGCUGAGGGU